AUUGAACGCUGGCGGCAGGCCUAACACAUGCAAGUCGAGCGAGCGGCGGACGGGUGAGUAAUGUCUGGGAAACUGCCUGAUGGAGGGGGAUAACUACUGGAAACGGUAGCUAAUACCGCAUACCAUCAGAUGUGCCCAGAUGGGAUUAGCUAGUGGGGGGGGUAACGGCGCACCUAGGCGACGAUCCCUAGCUGGUCUGAGAGGGUGACCGGCCACACUGGAACUGAGACACGGUCCAGACUCCUACGGGAGGCAGCAGUGGGGAAUAUUGGACAAUGGGCGCAAGCCUGAUGCAGCCAUGCCGCGUGUGUGAAGAAGGCCUUCGGGUUGUAAAGCACUGUCAGCGGGGAGGCGUUACCCGCAGAAGAAGCACCGGCUAACUACGUGCCAGCAGCCGCGGUAAUAC
rnacentral:rRNA from 1 species